GCAGUGGGUUCCAUGGUAGAAUUCUCACUUUCCAUGUGAGAGAUCUGGGUUCAAUUCCUGGCCAAUGCA
rnacentral:tRNA from 1 species